AAAAAAAAAAAUCAAUAGGCUUGUACAAAAAUUAUGAAUGAGCCCGGGUCAAAAUAUUUAUGGUGCAAACAUAAAUUAAUUUUCGAAAUAUAAGUGAUGGAUGACAUGGCUGCUAUAGUAGUCUUUGUUCUUAAAAUUGGGAAGGAUUUAUUCAUCUCAUUUGUGGAUGUUGAAGCUGAUUGUCUGCAGGUGGUGUCUAUCCAUUUCGGAUGCAAGUGGUGGCAUUUCAAACAUGAAUGGAAAUAUAUUAAGAAUAACAAAGCAAUUAAAAUACCUCAAAAACAAAUAACAAAAACAAAUCCCAAUUGAGCCUAGAAACACAAGAAUCUAUUUAAUGCUUCAAGAAAGCAAGCAGAGAGAAUACAAGAGAGGUGCAAAUCAUAGCCCCAGAGAUCCCAAAAGAAUACGCAGCAGCUCCCUUGUCCAUGGUUGGUGAUGGGGCUGGUGCCAUCCCAAGUUCUUGAGCUUCAACACUUGCAAAAUACAUUGCCACAACCAGGAAGAGUGAAGCCAUACCCUUGAAUGUGUUUAUUUGUGCCAUAGUACCAAGAAGAUAUAUAAGAUUUAAGGGAUAGAAAGAUAAAGCAAGUAAUUAAUGUGGAGAAGAGAUUAUUGCUUGUGUGAUUUGAUAAUAGGGGAUUGGGUUCUAAAGGGUAUUUAUAGGGUUUAAUUAUGAAUAACUGUGUAGGCUAAAUGAGACUUGGAAUGCCAUGUUGAGUCCAGCAAGUGAAGGGAACUUUCACAUGAAUUUGUGCUGGCUGAGCUGCUUCCCAUAUCAUGCAAUCAUAGUGUG
rnacentral:lncRNA from 1 species